rfam:Cavia porcellus supercont2_3 genomic scaffold, whole genome shotgun sequence.
CCUACCGUUUCCUGGCAGAGACCAGGAGUGCUGUUCCAAUCUCUGUUAUAUAGGAAGGCAGAAGGAAAGGGUUCUGGCUGCCUCAGUGUCAAGUCUAACACCAGUGGCUUCCCAUCUGCAGGUUCUAUCUUCAAAAAUCAGACUAUAU